rnacentral:piRNA from 2 species
UCCAUGUGUGUGGAGAGGUCUGUUUCUGGA